CUACGUAGGUGGCGAGCGUUGUCCGGAUUUACUGGGUGUAAAGGGCGAGUAGGCGGGUAAACAAGUCAGAUGUGAAAUACCGAGGCUCAACUUCGGGGCUGCAUUUGAAACUGUUUAUCUUGAGUGAUGGAGAGGCAGGCGGAAUUUCCAGUGUAGCGGUAAAAUGCAUAGAGAUUGGGAGGAACACCAGUGGCGAAGGCGGCCUGCUGGACAUCAAAUGACGCUGAGGAGCGAAAGUGUGGGGAGCAAACAGGAUUAGAUACCCUGGUAGUCCACACCGUAAACGAUGGAUACUAGGUGUGCGGGGACUGACCCCCUGCGUGCCGGAGUUAACACAUUAAGUAUCCCACCUGGGGAGUACGAUCGCAAGAUUGAAACUCAAAGGAAUUGGCGGGG
rnacentral:rRNA from 1 species